rnacentral:rRNA from 1 species
AAUAGAUACCCAGGUAGUCCACGCCGUAAACGAUGGAUACUAGGUGUUCGGUGGAUUAACCCACUGAGUACCGGAGUUCACACAUUAAGUAUCCCGCCUGGGGAGUACGGUCGCAAGGCUAAAACUCAAAGGAAUUGACGGGGGCCCGCACAAGCGGUGGAGUAUGUGGUUUAAUUCGAAGCAACGCGAAAACCUUACCUGGCCUUGACAUCUCUUGAUAGCCGUGGAGACACGGUUUUGACUUCGGUCACAGGAUGACAGGUGCUGCAUGGCUGUCGUCAGCUCGUGUUGUGAAAUGUUCGGUUAAGUCCGGCAACGAGCGCAACCCCUGUCCUUAGUUACCAGCAUUAAGUUGGGGACUCUAGGGAGACUGCCGGUGUUAAACCGGAGGAAGGCGGGGAUGACGUCAAGUCCGCAUGGCCCUUACGGCCAGGGCUACACACGUACUACAAUGGCAGAAACAAACCGUCGCGAAACUGUAAAGUGGAGCUAAUCGGAAAACACUGUCCCAGUCCGGAUUGAGGUCUGCAACUCGACCUCAUGAAGUUGGAAUCGCUAGU